rnacentral:rRNA from 1 species
ACCCUACUAUGCCCUGCCGUAACAAAACAAUUAAAUAACUAAUUGUUCGCCAAAUAACUACGAGUAAAAACUUAAAAUUUAAAAGACUUGACGGUACUUCACAUCGACCUAGAGGAGCCUGUCUAAUAACCGAUAAUCCACGAUUAACCCAACCUUUUCUGGCCAAACAGUCUAUAUACCGCCGUCGCCAGCCUACCUUGUGAAAGAAACAAAGUAGGCCUGAUAGUAUUACACUAAUACGACAGGUCGAGGUGUAACUAAUGAAAGGGACCAAGAUGGGCUACAUUUCUUAAGCUAAGAUAUAACGAACAAACUAUGAAACUAGAAAUCGAAGGCGGAUUUAGCAGUAAGCUAAGAACAUUAAUACCUAGCCGAAACCAACGCAAUGAAGUGUGCACACACCGCCCGUCGUCCCUGUUAGACACAACAAAAAUACAUAAACACCACCAACCUUAAAAGCA